rnacentral:tRNA from 1 species
GCAGAGAUAACCAAGCUUGGUCAACGGUGCCGGACUCUUUAUCCGGUCUCAUAGGAGUACGUGGGUUCGAAUCCCACUCUCUGCA